GAAAUGCGAUAAGUAAUGUGAAUUGCAGAAUUCAGUGAAUCAUCGAAUCUUUGAACGCACCUUGCGCUCCUUGGUAUUCCGAGGAGCAUGCCUGUUUGAGUGUAAUGAAACCCUCAAACCCAAGUUUUGGAUUUCGUUCCAUGCUUGGGUUUGGAUUUGUAUGUUUGCCGGUGUUGCACCGCCUCAUCUUAAAAGUAUUAGCUGGGUCUGUCUAUAUGACUGGGUUGACUUGGCAUAAUAAGUAUUUUGCUGAGGACAUCUUCGGAUGGCCAGGACCUAGACUACUGUCUGCUAACUAAACCAUCACAUUAAGUGCAUAUUCGGAUGUUACUCAUUGUGUAACUUUGACAUCUGGCCUCAAAUCAAGUAGGACUACCCGCUGAACUUAA
rnacentral:misc_RNA from 1 species